CCUACGGGAGGCAGCAGUGAGGAAUAUUGGUCAAUGGACGAGAGUCUGAACCAGCCAAGUAGCGUGAAGGAUGACUGCCCUAUGGGUUGUAAACUUCUUUUCUAUGGGAAUAAAAUGUUCCACGUGUGGGAUUUUGUAUGUACCCUAUGAAUAAGGAUCGGCUAACUCCGUGCCAGCAGCCGCGGUAAUACGGAGGAUCCGAGCGUUAUCCGGAUUUAUUGGGUGUAAAGGGAGCGUAGGUGGAUUGUUAAGUCAGUUGUGAAAGUUUGCGGCUCAACCGUAAAAUUGCAGUUGAAACUGGCAGUCUCGAGUACAGUAGAGGUGCGUGGAAUGCGUGGUGUAGCGGUGAAAUGCUUAGAUAUCACGAAGAACUCCGAUUGCGAAGGCAGCUCACUGGACUACAACUGACGCUGAGGCACGAAAGUGUGGGGAUCAAACAGGAUUAGAUACCCGGGUAGUC
rnacentral:rRNA from 1 species